GAAACUGUACGCAUGUACAGUACACAUUUUAUUUUUAAAAGGGGCUUUUUGAAGUAAAACUCAAAGGGCCCAGUGUUUCCUCCAACACCGUGACUACCUCGGAGGGGGUAAUAAUGACCAGUCUGUGUGUGGGGGAGAAUUAGCCACAGCCGAUAUUUUGGGGGAAGUCCACAACGUACACGAGCGUCAGAAUAAAUAAGAAACUGUUCCCUUUCAAAAAGUCGCUUCAGUAAAUGUCUGGAUUGGAAUCAGGCUUGAGCGAGGAGAUUAUGGGUUAUUGUUGCUCACCUGGUGCAAUGGUUCCAGCUGUUCUGAGGCUCUACUUCUUCGGGAUCGCUGUGAGCAUCUUCACCUUCAUUUUCAGCCUGGCCGACUCGGUUGGCGGCCUGAUGUACGUCCAAGACUGCCGCUGGAUGCUGGAGAUGGAGAGGUGUCCCGCGCCGAAACCUCAUGGAGGGUCUUUGGCGACCCCGCAUCUGGACUGAUGAGACGGCGGGGCAAAACGUCGGAUGGAUGCACUUUGUGGAACUGUGGCAUCUUUAAAAAAUGCAAAAGGAGAGCACUACUGACAUUUGAUGAGCCAAAGACACAAUUGUAACAUGCAGGCAUUGAGAAAGUGACUGCAAGCAGCAUGGGGGAAUGAUUUCAAGAUUAAUAUUUUGGUGUGUAAUAGCCUCAUAAUUAAAAUAAACUAA